rnacentral:rRNA from 1 species
AUUGAACGCUGGCGGCAUGCCUUACACAUGCAAGUCGAACGGUAACAGGUCUUCGGAUGCUGACGAGUGGCGAACGGGUGAGUAAUACAUCGGAACGUGCCUAGUAGUGGGGGAUAACUACUCGAAAGAGUGGCUAAUACCGCAUGAGAUCUACGGAUGAAAGCAGGGGAUCGAAAGACCUUGUGCUACUAGAGCGGCCGAUGGCAGAUUAGGUAGUUGGUGGGAUAAAAGCUUACCAAGCCGACGAUCUGUAGCUGGUCUGAGAGGACGAUCAGCCACACUGGGACUGAGACACGGCCCAGACUCCUACGGGAGGCAGCAGUGGGGAAUUUUGGACAAUGGGCGAAAGCCUGAUCCAGCAAUGCCGCGUGCAGGAUGAAGGCCUUCGGGUUGUAAACUGCUUUUGUACGGAACGAAAAGCCCUGGGUUAAUACCCUGGGGUCAUGACGGUACCGUAAGAAUAAGCACCGGCUAACUACGUGCCAGCAGCAGCCGCGGUAA